UGUGCAAUUUUUAACCUUGUCUAGUCUACCAUUAACUAACAGAAACAAUACGAAAAAGAUAGGAAGUUAUUAAAGGUUUCUCCUAAGAAUGUCACUCCCCUCACCAUCAUGAAACCUUAUGGAGAAAAAUGAAGGCCCUAUAGGUCCUGAAGGUGUAGAGAAAGUACUAAAGUAAAACAUUUCAGAGAAAUAGCUAAACUCUACACAGAACAUUUUCUCACAGGACUUUAGGCAGCAGAUGAAAACCAAGCCAGGGGAAGAAGCUACGAAAAGGGAAGUAGGACUAAAGAUCAAUUAACAGUGGGUUUGAGAGAGAGGAUUUACCACCGUUUCCUCCUACCACCAGUGUUGCCACCAGUACCUAGAGGAAGGUGAGAAUGAAAUGGAGGAGGAAGGGGUAGACUGCUAGAACCAAAACAGAGGGAGGGUAAAAGGAGAUCUAAAUCCUAAACAGGGCCAGGUGUGGUGGCUCACACCUGUAAUCCUAACGCUUUAGGAGGCCAAGGCAGGAGGAUCCACUUGAGACCAAACUGGGCAACAUAGUGAGACCUCAUCUCUACCAAAAAUUUAAAAAUUAUCUGGGCGUGGUGGCACAUACCUGUAGUCCCAGCUACUUUGGGGGCUGAGGUGGGAGGAUUACUUUAUCCCAGGAGGUGGAGGCUGCAAUGAGCCAUAAUUGCACAACUGCACUCCAGGCUGGGUGACAGGCCAAGGCCCUAUCUCAAAAAUAAAUAAAUCCUUAAUAGUGGAGAAAAGAAAGGAUUUCCAGGGCUACUGGGCCACCAACUGGAGUACCGUCUGAAGUAAAUAAUUUGUGUCAGUUAAGGGCAACUUGGUUCAGAUCUUCGAAUGUGUAGGAAUCUUAGGAUCUUAUCAAUCAAGAUGUUGCCUGAAUUUUGCAGUAAAUAUACAUUAAUAUAAAUUCCUACUCUAAGCAUUUCAUUUUGUGAUUGAAAGCAGUGUUACUUAAAGUACAGCCAGCUGGCCAACAGCAUCAGUAUCACCUGAGAGCAGGAUUGAGGAACCUGUGUUUUAACAGCUUGCUAGGUGAUUUUUAGUUACAUUAUAGUUUGAGAAGUACUUCUCUAGGGCAUAGAUUUAUAAAAUGGCUAGUUGGUCCCCAAGGUAUUGGAUGAGGGAGAGUUUCGCACCAGUGAGGACAAUGCAUGCCCUAGAAUCAUGCAAUUCACACAAUGGGAAAGCAAUGACAAAGAGGCACAAAAUGGUAACUGACAUGAGCAAAUGGGAGAGUUGCUGAUGUUGCUUUUCCAAGGAUGUUAGGCAGGGAGGACACCACUACUAUAUGUGUGUUUUUUUUGUUUGUUUUUGUUUUUGUUUUGUUUUGUUUUGAGACGGAGUCUCGCUCUGUUGCCCAGGCUGGAGUGCAG
rnacentral:lncRNA from 1 species